AUUGAACGCUGGCGGCAUGCUUUACACAUGCAAGUCGAACGGCAGCGCGGGCUUCGGCCUGGCGGCGAGUGGCGAACGGGUGAGUAAUGCAUCGGAACGUGCCCAGUAGUGGGGGAUAGCCCGGCGAAAGCCGGAUUAAUACCGCAUACGACCUGAGGGUGAAAGCGGGGGACCGAAAGGCCUCGCGCUAUUGGAGCGGCCGAUGUCGGAUUAGCUAGUUGGUGGGGUAAAGGCUUACCAAGGCGACGAUCCGUAGCUGGUCUGAGAGGACGACCAGCCACACUAGGACUGAGACACGGCCCAGACUCCUACGGGAGGCAGCAGUGGGGAAUUUUGGACAAUGGGGGCAACCCUGAUCCAGCCAUGCCGCGUGCGGGAAGAAGGCCUUCGGGUUGUAAACCGCUUUUGUUCGGGAAGAAAUCCUCUGGGCUAAUACCCCGGGGGGAUGACGGUACCGGAAGAAUAAGCACCGGCUAACUACGUG
rnacentral:rRNA from 1 species